CCGGCUCGCAAGUGUGCAAGCCGAACCCCGCUCGCCGACCUACUCGAGGAGUUCGCCGACGUGUUCGCGGCACCAAAAGGGCUCCCUCCACACCGCCAGUAUGACCACGCCGUCACGCUGGUGGAGGGCGCGGUCCCCGUGAACAUGCGCCCGUAUCGCUACUCGCCUCUGCAGAAGGAUGAAAUCGAGCGUCAUGCUAAGGAGAUGCUGGAUUCGGGCGUGAUCACGCACAGCGUCAGUCCAUACGCUGCGCCGGUGCUGCUCGUGAAGAAGAAGGACGACACUUGGCGGUUCUGCGUCGACUAUUGCCAGCUCAACGACGCCACCAUCAAGAACAAGUUUCCCCUUCCCAUCAUUGACGAACUCCUGGAUGAAUUGGCCGGCGCAGCAGUGUUCUCCAAGCUGGACUUGCGCGCUGGUUAA
rnacentral:rRNA from 1 species